GACGAACGCUGGCGGCGUGCUUAACACAUGCAAGUCGAACGAGUGGCGAACGGGUGAGUAAUACGUGGGUAACCUGCCCUCUUUUUGGGAUAAGCCUUGGAAACGGGGUCUAAUACCGAAUAAAGGGGGAUGGGCUCGCGGCCUAUCCGCUUGUUGGUGGGGUGAUGGCCUACCAAGGCGGUGACGGGUAGCCGGCCUGAGAGGGUGACCGGCCACAUUGGGACUGAGACCCCGCCCAGACUCCUGCGGGGUGCAGCAGUGGGGUAUAUUGCACAAUGGGCGAAAGCCUGAUGCAGCGACGCCGCGUGGGGGAUGAAGGCUUUCGGGUUGUAAAGCUCUGUUAAUCGGGACGCGGUACCGGAAUAGAAAGCCACGGCUAACUACGUGCCAGCCGCCGCGGUAAUUC
rnacentral:rRNA from 1 species